rnacentral:rRNA from 1 species
UGCUGACGAGCGGCGGACGGGUGAGUAAUGCUUGGGAACAUGCCUUGAGGUGGGGGACAACAGUUGGAAACGACUGCUAAUACCGCAUAAUGUCUACGGACCAAGGGGGGCUUCGGCUCUCGCCUUUAGAUUGGCCCAAGUGGGAUUAGCUAGUUGGUGAGGUAAUGGCUCACCAAGGCAACGAUCCCUAGCUGGUUUGAGAGGAUGAUCAGCCACACUGGGACUGAGACACGGCCCACACUCCUACGGGAGGCAGCAGUGGGGAAUAUUGCACAAUGGGCGCAAGCCUGAUGCACCCAUGCCGCGUGUGUGAAGAAGGCCUUCGGGUUGUAAAGCACUUUCAGUCAAGAGGAAAGGUUAGUAGUUAAUACCUGCUAGCUGUGACGUUACUGACAGAAGAAGCACCGGCUAACUCCGUGCCAGCAGCCGCGGUAAUACGGAGGGUGCGAGCGUUAAUCGGAAUUACUGGGCGUAAAGCGUACGCAGGCGGUUUGUUAAGCGAGAUGUGAAAGCCCCGGGCUCAACCUGGGAACUGCAUUUCAAACUGGCAAACUAGAGUGUGAUAGAGGGUGGUAGAAUUUCAGGUGUAGCGGUGAAAU